rnacentral:rRNA from 1 species
UACAGAGGGUGCGAGCGUUGUUCGGAAUUACUGGGCGUAAAGCGCGCGCAGGCGGCCUUUUAAGUCUGCUGGUGAAAUGCCGGGGCUCAACCCCGUGCCCGCCACAGAUACUGGGAGGCUGGAGACGAGUAGAGGCAAGCGGAAUUCCGGGUGUAGCGGUGGAAUGCGUAGAGAUCCGGAAGAACACCGGAGGCGAAGGCGGCUUGCUGGGCUGGGUCUGACGCUGAGGCGCGAAAGCGUGGGGAGCGAACAGG